GCAAGCCUCUCUAAAGGCAUAGACAUCCUUAUAUGGGCCUUCUUAGGCCCGUUUAAAAUAUUAGAGCCUUGUCCAAUUAUAAGCUAGGGGAAGUAGAAACCCUAGCUAUAUAAAGUAGAGAGACGAGUGAAACAGAGCUGAACAUCCGAGCUCGGCGAUUUCACGAUGAGAGCCAAGUGGAAGAAGAAGCGCAUGAGGAGAUUGAAGAGGAAGCGCAGAAAGAUGAGGCAGAGAUCUAAGUAGUCUUUGUCUUGCUUUAUCUCCUAAUCUCUGUGGUUGCUUUCUAGUUUCUUGAACCGUUUAUGUUUUGUGUUUUUUUACAUUCAAGAUUUGAACAAUCAUGUGUAGAACAUGUUUUUGCUUACUCCCUUUUAUUAUCUACAAAGCAGAGGUUGAAUAUUAUGCUUCUAUUUUAUAAAAA